UGGGUUGACUCAAUCCAGAAAAGGAAGA
rnacentral:piRNA from 1 species